rnacentral:rRNA from 1 species
CAGCAGCCGCGGUAAUACGAAGGGUGCAAGCGUUAAUCGGAAUUACUGGGCGUAAAGCGUGCGCAGGCGGUUUGUUAAGUCUGCUGUGAAAUCCCCGGGCUCAACCUGGGAAUGGCAGUGGAUACUGGCAAGCUAGAGUGUGUCAGAGGAUGGUGGAAUUCCCGGUGUAGCGGUGAAAUGCGUAGAGAUCGGGAGGAACAUCAGUGGCGAAGGCGGCCAUCUGGGACAACACUGACGCUGAGGCACGAAAGCGUGGGGAGCAAACAGGAUUAGAUACCCGCGUAGUCCCUGUCUCUUAUAA